rnacentral:rRNA from 1 species
AUUGAACGCUGGCGGCAUGCUUUACACAUGCAAGUCGAACGGCAGCGCGGGCUUCGGCCUGGCGGCGAGUGGCGAACGGGUGAGUAAUACAUCGGAACGUGCCCAGUAGUUGGGGAUAGCUCGGCGAAAGCCGGCUUAAUACCGCAUACGACCUGAGGGUGAAAGCGGGGGAUCUUCGGACCUCGCGCUAUUGGAGCUGCCCAUGGCAGAUUAGCUAGUUGGUGGGGUAAAGGCCUACCAAGGCGACGAUCUGUAGCUGGUCUGAGAGGACGACCAGCCACACUGGGACUGAGACACGGCCCAGACUCCUACGGGAGGCAGCAGUGGGGAAUUUUGGACAAUGGGCGAAAGCCUGACCCAGCAAUGCCGCGUGUGUGAUGAAGGCCUUCGGGUUGUAAAGCACUUUUGGCGGGAACGAAAAGGACUGUGCCAAUACCACGGUUCGAUGACGGUACCCGCAGAAUAAGCACCGGCUAACUACGUG